rnacentral:rRNA from 1 species
UACGGGGGGAGCAAGCGUUGUUCGGAAUUACUGGGUGUAAAGGGUUCGUAGGCGGUGCGGCAAGUCGGGAGUGAAAUCUCUGGGCUUAACCCAGAGGCUGCUUCCGAAACUGCUGUGCUUGAGUGUGGCAGAGGGGGAUGGAAUUCCGCGUGUAGCAGUGAAAUGCGUAGAUAUGCGGAGGAACACCGAUGGCGAAGGCAAUCCCCUGGGCCUGCACUGACGCUCAUGCACGAAAGCGUGGGGAGCAAACAGG